GGAAGUGUAGCUCAGUUGGUCAGAGCGCACGGUUCACAUCCGUGAGGUCAAGGGUUCGAGCCCCUUCAUUUCCACCA
rnacentral:tRNA from 1 species